rnacentral:rRNA from 1 species
UGGGGAAUAUUGGGCAAUGGGGGAAACCCUGACCCAGCAACGCCGCGUGAAGGACGAAGGCCUUCGGGUUGUAAACUUCCUUGAUCAGGGACGAAAACAAUGACGGUACCUGAGGAACAAGCCACGGCUAACUACGUGCCAGCAGCCGCGGUAAUACGUAGGUGGCGAGCGUUAUCCGGAUUUACUGGGUGUAAAGGGCGUGCAGGCGGGCUGACAAGUCGGAUGUGAAAUUUCCGGGCUUAACCCGGAAGGGUCAUCCGAAACUGUCGGACUUGAGUACUGGAGAGGAUAGUGGAAUUCCUAGUGUAGCGGUAAAAUGCGUAGAUAUUAGGAGGAACACCAGUGGCGAAGGCGGCUAUCUGGACAGUAACUGACGCUGAGGCGCGAAAGCGUGGGGAGCAAACAG